rnacentral:lncRNA from 1 species
GAAAAUAUAUAUAUAAAAAAGGAAAUAAAAAUAAUAUAGCUAAAAUUAAAAUUACAAUAAAUAAACUCAUUAUGUCUCAUCAAUUUACAAUGCCAAAUCUAUUUAUAGUUUUAAAACCAAAUCAAGUUACAAAUUAAAAAUUAAGUCAAAUUAGUUUACAAUAAAAAUUAAUACAAAUUAAAUCAAAUCAAGGCAGUUGUUCCAGCCUGUUUUGCAUUUGUUUUGUUCUCUAUUGUUGCCAUUGCUCACUGCGAAGCCUUGAUCUGUUGACGCUGACUACUAUUGAUGCACAAGCCAUGCUCAUUGUUACAUUUGUACCUGUUGUAACUAAUUAGAGAAAUAAAAAUAUUAAUUUAAGUCAGCCAUUGUACAUAUUAUACAUAGCAAAUAGAUGAACUUUUGAGUUUAAAAGAAAAAACUAAAAGACAAAUUAAAGCUGCAAAUGAAAAUGCUCAGCAAAUGAACAAAUCAAAACAAAUAAUCCAAAACCAUGAAUGCAACAGAGGUGCAGAAAAAAACUCAGAUGAUGAGCAAAAGAAAAGAAACAUCAAGCAAGGAAUUAGAAAGCUCAAACUCAAACAAAGACACAAACAAAGAAAACAACUAAAUAGAUAAAAGAACACUAUAAAUACAUCUUUAAAUUUCAUAAAGGAUCGAAGAUGAACAUUAACAAGAAAAAUACCUAAAACGAAGAAGAAGAAAACAUAGUAAUAGCAAAGAAAAACAAAUAGAAGACGAAGAAUUAAGGUAAAUUUUUUUUCUCUCUUUACAUUAUAAUUAAUUUAUAUAUAUAUAUAUAUAUAUAUAUAUAUAUACAUGUAUAUAUCUAUCGAUUUAAAAUAGAAAAAACAAGAUAACAUUUUAAAUGAAAAUAAAAAGUAAAGUCAGAAAUCACAAACCUUCAACGAGUGUCAACGCCGCCGCCACACUCUCCAAAUAGUCUGGUACGUUACAUUUGAUCCAAUCUCGAUUUGAGAGAGUUGGAGAUUGCAAGAAGAGGAGACGGCGGCGCCAGUGCGUGCUACAACGUUAGUAAGGGUUCUUGGUUGCGGUCUUCAUCUAGGUCCUCCAUGUUGGCCGUGGUAUUCAUCUACGACCUAUGUGUCUGCUUCUUGCAAGGCUUCUAUAUCUUUUCUUCUUCUUUUUCCAGCUGGUGCUUUAUGCGGCCGCCUCACUAGUUUGUAAUAUAGGGUUUUGUUUAGUUUGUGACCUAGGGUUUCUGUGACGUUUUUUAACCUAUUUUUUUUAAGUUGGGCCCAUGUUCUAAUAAAAACAAACAAAAAGCUGUUCAAGCUCAACCCAUUUUAAAUCUAUUCAUUUUUUUUUAAAAAAGGUUUAAUUUCCUUGAUAACUUAAUAUCAAUUUCAUCAUAAAAAAUACAAAUAAAUAUUAUAUUAAAGAUUAAUUAGAGGUGACAUCUUUUUAAUCUUUGAGUUGUUAGGACACAAGUGGUACAAUUUGAUAGUUCUAAAACUCUCUUUAUUUAUUUUUUUAAUGAGUUAAUCUAAAAUCAAUUUUUUUAAAUUUGAUUAAUUACAUGUAAUCUUUUUCUUAAUAUUUGAGUUGUUGAGACACAAGUUGUAGUGCUUGGUGAUUUUAAAACUCAAUUUUAAAAUUGAAAAAAUAUAAUACAUUCUUAGAAGAAUUAACUAGAUGAGACAUUUUUUUAUUUUGAGUUUUUGAGAUACGAGUUGUACAACUAGAUAGUCCUAAAACUAGCAUAAAAAAAUAUUUUUUUCAAGUCAAACAAUUUCAUUUUCUUUUCUCGUCAAAACAUUUUUUUAAAUAUAACAAAUCCAAUUUUCUUUAAAAAAAAAAAUCAACACAACCACAUUUUAUAACUAAGAUCUACGUAGCUUUGAUUUCUCUAUCGCACCGGGAGAUACGUAUGAGCAAUAUCACAUUCUUGUCAAGCACAUUAAUAAAAAUUUCUUUUUUUGUCAUUUAUUUUUUAAGCACACAUUUAUUCCCAAAUCAUAUUUAAGAAAAAUAAUAAUAAUUGUUAUUCAUAUUUAAUAAUAAUGAGAAAUAAAUAUGCUUAAGUUAAUAUUAAUCUUGCACAGAAUGUCAAAAGUCAUCCUCCAGAAGAGGACACAGAAAAGGAAAUCUUGAAAAUAGAGGUUAAAGAACUAAAAAAUGACAUUUCCAACUUUGUCAAAUCUACAUAAACAUUUCAAAAAAUAAUGGGAUCUCAAUCUGGAAUAUUUGACAAGGCUGAUAUUGGUUUUAAAAGUUCUCAAAAACAAAAAUUGUAUGAAAUUUUUUCUUGCCUAAAAAACAAAAGGAUAGGCCAAAAUGCACUUUUUGCAAAAAAAUUGGGCAUACUUUCAAGAUAUGUCAUGCUAAGAAGAAAACUGAAAAUAUAAAAAUCCUCACAAGAGGAAAAACUAACCAACAACGACCCAAUGCUAUAUGGGUACCCAAGUUACUUUAAACUCUAACACAGGUUCAUCCUCUGAUCAACAAAAGAAAGCCUUGAUACUUGGACAGUGGCUGCUCAAGGCAUAUGCCAAGGGAUAAGCACUACUUUAUUUCCUUGGAGAUAAAUGAUAGAGGACUUCUCUCUAAGGUACGCAAAAUUACGAUCCUCUGUGAUAAUGCUACUGCAAUAAAUCUUUGGAAAAAAUUUCCAUUCAACAGUCUAGAUCUAAGCACAUUGAAAUAAAACAUCAUUUUAUAAGAGAUCAUGUUCAAAAAGGGGAUAUUGAAUUAAUUUUCGUUGAUACUGAAAAUCAGUUGACUAAUAUUUUUACCAAACCUCUCCAAGAGGAUAGGUUCAAAAAUAUCUUGAAAAAACUCUCCAUCAUUAAUUUGCCCAAAAUUAUCUAAUUAAUUUUUAUUGUGUAGCAUUACUGUGUUUCUUUUCUUGUGAUGAUUUUUUUUAUUAAAAUCAAGUGAAAGAUCACAUGUGAUCUUUUGAAAAAGAAUUAUAGCAAAAGUUGUGAGGAUGGCAAAAACACCAGAGGACACACUAGCCAGUUUGGUGUAACUUCCUCUUGUCAUGUCAGACAAGAAAAUGCACGCGCCUCCUUUCAUUGGCCAACAUAUGUGGCGCUGCCUCCUUGGGUCUUGCUCUGCAUUUAAUGCGCAGACGGCUAUUUAUGACCGUCACAACCACUCACAUGCUCCUAGUCUCCCUACUCUAUCAUCAUUAAUACAUAUUAAAUGGCUUCAUCAUCUGCCUACUCAUCUUCCUCUAACGAUCACAACAUUUCAAAACUCCAACCUCCUCCUUCUCCAACUGUUACAUGUCCAACCUCUUCAGGAGGAACGUUUUGAUUUUUUUUUUUUUGAAAAAAAUAAAACUGUUUGUUGUUACCCGUGCAUCAAUCUCUGAAAAAUAUUGGUUAAUAAUUUAUUUCUCUUAUUUUUCCAUUUUUUUGAUGGUUGACAAAUUCAGGGGGAGAUAGAUUAUGAUCAUCCUGUUAUCAACUCUUUGUUUAAGAUAAUACUUUUUGAAACCACUAUUUCAAUCAUAUGUUAUGCUUGUUAAUGUUUAUGGCAUUUUGAACCAUCUUUUGUAAUAUUUAUCUCAUUUAUGUGAAAUCUCUUUAUGGUUCAAUUUCAUUAUUUCAAAACUUUGGCAUAUGUUCAGGGGGAGUAAUUAUUUUUAAUUUUAAAAAUUAUUACACAUAAUUUAGGGGGAGCAUAAACAUUUUAUCUCAUGAACUUGUCUUAUUUAAAAUCAUAAUCUAAAGAAUUUUGUCAUCAUAAAAAAGGGGGAAAUUGUUGAGACAAAAUCUCUCAAAUGAUUUUAAUGAUAACAAAAUUACUUAAGAGAUUGUGAUUGUGGUUACUAAAUAAUCUGUGCUUUUGAGUGAAUUCAUAUAAAAAAAUAGGUUAUUAAUCAUUAAGGCAAAAAGGAUAAAAAUCUGAUACAAAUCUGGAGGAUUAAAAUUCCUGAGGAUGGCCUCGUGAAGAGGAUGAAGCUUCAAAUCUGCAUAAUACUUGUUCUCUCCAGACCAAAUGUUUUUAUUCAUUAAAGAAAUGCACAAUAGUAUCAAAGAAUGAAUAAAUAAAGCAUUUGACAUAAAGAAGUUAGAAUACCAAAGGAAAAGACGAGAAUGGCUAGAUCUAGACUAGAGGAUGACAAUGCUAGGCUGGAGGAUGGUUCAGUAAAGUUGAAAGCAACCCAUCAAACAUGUGCAAAGGCUAAAAUCAGACCAUUUAUUGUGCUUGCACGAAUGAAUACAUGAAGAAGUCAAGUUACAGAAAGGCAACAACAAACAAGCCAAAAAUGGAACACUUCACAUGUUAAAAGCAGAUUCAAUCCUUGGACUUGAGGAUGGCAGUCCUAUGUAAGAGGGUGGCUCUCUUUCUUAUCAACAUCACUCUCAAAAGUUAAAAUCAACCUAGUCCUUAAAGUUUCUGAAAAGGUUGUUGAUCACAUAGUCAAAGAAAUAGCCUUACACUCUUUGAAGAAAGAGAAUAGAAAAGGACAUCUCAAGAUCAAGUUUCAAGGAUGCUGAUCUUCAUGCGCAAGGAUGGCCUCUGCCAGUCCAAGAAUAGCUGGAUGGCAGUUCUGUAAAUAUGAUGAAAGACCUUGGAUCUUUUGUAAUGAAUUCCAAUGGUCAUCAAGAGCUUGGCACAUGAAAGGAAUAUCAUAAGACUUCUAUAAAAUGCAGCAAGCUCUUCAUCAUUAAACACACAACAAUAUUGCAUAAAAAGAUCAAGUAUCUUAAAGCUAUCAAGAGCAAUACCCAUCCUCUCUUCAUACUUUCUUCAAUCCUACAUUAGAUCUUUGUAAAUCCUUUAAGAAAGUAUUUAGAAUCAAUCACUCUCAUAUCACUUUGUAAUUUCCACGUGAGAUACACUUGGAAAUAGUUGAAACUUGAUUGUAAACUUGGUGAGGCUAAAGACUACACAAAGUGUAAUCACCCUCUGUGAGAGGUUGAUGAGUUUGAACAUUAGUGAAAUCUCACCAGUAUACAAGUUGUGUGUGUCAUUCUUUACAUUCUCUCCUUUUUUUGCUCAGCUUUAAUUUAAAGGUUUGAAUAACCAUCCUCGGUUCUGCGAUCCUCUCUGAGAGGAUAGUUUUUAAAACACGUGAAAAUUAUUUUUAAACAGCAAAAUCCCUAUUCAACCCCCUUCUAGUGAUAUUUAGCUACAUCAUUAUUAUCAUUAUGGAGUUAUUGAAUCAUACUUAUUCCACACCCUACACUUUUACUAAGACACACACUUAUGAGUGGAACCUUAUACCCGGGUUUGAACAAAACUUAAGUUUAGUUUCGAGGUAGUGUAGUGGUAGCCUUCUGGAUGUACAUCCUGUUUGGUUAGCAUGAAAAUCUCACCUAGAGUUUGAUCUUGUUGAGAGUAUUGUCACUCCAAAUAGUUUACCUAUUAUUGUUGACAAUAUUCUAAAAUAGGAUUACUGGCUCUAGGAACCCUGUUUAGAACUAUAGAGCCACCACUGUGAGAGUUUCACUACAUAAGCCAAUAGACCCUUUUUCAUCAUAAGAAUAUCCAUACAAGCAAAAAAAAAAAAAAAUACCUCAUACAUUCAUUCAAAAUGUUAUAUAUUCACAACAAUCAUUCUACAUAAUUGCAUUCAUAUCUCAUGACAUUGUUUCUUUUGAAAAAUGAAUUGGCAUUUUGCAUCAAUUUUUAGGAUUGUUGGGAAAUCAUAAGAACCUUAGUCACAUGUUAAAUUAAAGUGGAAAAUGGGAUCGAAAAAAAGAAAAAUUUUACUUUUAAAGUUCAUGUAACCUGAUUUGAAAAUUUUAAGAGACAUCUGCAAUCAAAUAAAAACUAUACAACGUGAGAGUUUCUUUUGCAAAUAUGAGAAGAUCCUAAAUCUUUUGGAAGUGAAUGUGCAAACAGUGGCCCUCAUGACAUUGGCUCAGUAUUACGACCCUCUAUUAAGACAUUUCACCUUUCAAGAAUUUUAGUUGGCCCUAACAUUAGAGGAAUUUGAAUGAAUAUUGGGUUACUCGCUAGAGAAACGAAAUCCUUAUCGAUAUACUGGGCAACCACUGAGUUUGGGCGCAAUUUCUGAACUGUUGAAAGUUGACAUAAGAGAGUUGACAAGUACAAAAGAGGAAAAAUGAGUCAUUCAUGAGUUUUCAAGAAAAUAUCUAGAGCAAAAGUGCCAGGAUUUAGCCGUUAAAAAAGAAUGGAGUACUGUUAUAGAUGUUUUGGCUCUGGUUAUCUAUGGUAUUGUUUUAUUCCCAAACCUUGAUAAUUUUGUAGAUUUUGCUACCAUCAAUGUCUUCUUAGCUUUUAACAAACAUAAACAAAAUCCAAUUCCCGCGAUUCUUGUUGAUGUAUACUACUCUCUGCAUAUGCGACAUGAGAAGAGAAUGGGAACAAUUUUGUGUUGUGUUCCAGUAUUGUACACUUGGUUCACGUCUCAUAUAUUCAAGAAAGAGUAUCAUGUUGGAAUUAAAAAUAAUCGUGAAUGGGCUCAAAGUAUAGCUAGCCUUAAUGGGGACACAAUUUCAUGGUAUCAUAGAGAACAAGGGAUUGAGGAAGUAAUAUGUCAAUGCAGAGAUUUCCCAAAUGUACCUCUCAUGAGAACCAAAGAAUGUAUUAAUUACAAUCCGAUGGUAACUCGGAGAUAGUUUGGCUACCCUAUGUUGGAAAAACCAAAUGAUAAGUCGUUGGAAGCUUUUGUUUUGCGCAAUACGGGUAUAAUAGACCCACAAAUGCUGCGAAGGAUAAGUCAAGCUUGGGAAAUGGUCAUUAGAAAAGGAAAAGUACUCAGAUGCAGAAGUUGCAGCACAAAAGAACCCUAUCAACAAUGGAUAAAGAACAGAGUCUAAGAAAUUAAGUUGCCUUUCCAUAGUACACCCUUGAGUGAUCAGGAAAUACCCGAACCUCCCUUUGUUGCCAAUGAAGAAGUACAAGAACUCAAAGCAUCAUUGUUAAAAUAUGAAGAGGAGAAAAAAGAGCUACAAUUGAAGUUUGAAAAAUUCUCCCAAGAGAAUGAGAACUUACGAUCAGAAAACACAUGUAAGAGUUAGUUUAUUGAAAGAAGCAACAAGAGGCUGAAAAUUGAAAAAGAAAAUAAACUUGACAUACAAGAUUGUUUAAGAGGUGCAAUUGAAGAGUUAGAUAUGUGAAAACAAGAAAAGAAUGCAGCUGUUGAAGAUGCCUAUAUGUGGAAGAAGUUGUGGACAAAUCAGCAAGCUCUGAGAAGAACAUAAAAAAAGAGUAUGAAGAUUAGUUUUAAAAAACAACUGAAAGAAAUAGUAGCUGAGUAUGAGAGUCGAGUAAGGAAUGAGAGGCAACACAAAGAAGAAAUUGAACAAUUUCUCUCAAAAUAUCAAGACGAACUAAGAAUAGAAAUGGAUAAUUCUAGUGAGUUGAAGAAUUACAUUGAUUACCAAGAUAAGAUCUAUAAUGACCUAAAGGACGAAACCAUAUAUUGGGAGGAUCGUUUUAUGAUGUUGCUAGGUCAAUUGAAGAAUCAAGAGAUAUAUAAAGAGCUGGAAGAUAAAGGAAGACAUUGGAAAUACUGCUUUUCAAAAUUGGAAAUGUUAGCUAAUCAAGCAAUCAUAAAAAUUCCAAAGCAUCUAAGAGAGAUUGAUGUGAUAAUGCAUUCGUUGAAUACUCCAAUCAAAGUCUAUAAGUUCGUUGAAUAUUGUAAAACUUUGGUAGAAGAAUUGGAGGAGAUGAUUGGUUGUCCUAUUAAAAGAGAAGAUUGAAAUCCCAUAGUCAUCGUAGUUUUUAAUUUAAAUGUGAUUUACUUUUUUCUCAUCAAUGAAGGAUUUGCUAUUUCGAUUUUCGACUCCCAUAUUUUCUUCACUAAUAAUUCGUUCUUGUUAAAAAAAUUACAUAAGACUUAUGAUUCCCCAACAUCCAACUAUCAUAAUUAACUAAUUGAUUUCAUCUUCAUUCAUAUUUUAAUACAUACUCAUAGAAAUUUUAUUUAUUUAUUUAAAAAAAAACAGAAAAAAAUUAAUAAAGUUGUUUCCCAAACACCCUUAUCGGACUCGCGUAAACUCCAAGAUCAUGGAUGAACUCGAGCAAAACCAAGAAGUGAUAAGAGCAGAUGUUAACCAAUUGAAGGACAAGGUUGAUCGAAUCCUGGAAGCUAUACAUGCUUUGGCAAGGAAGAAGAAUACAUAUGGGGAUCCUCCAACUGCAAAUGAAGAACACUAAACCACUCAUUCUCACCCACCGGGUUUUACUCUGACUAACCAACAGUUUCGCACAACAGCUAUGCAAUUUCCUAUAUAUGGUUUCCCACCUGGUUAUACUCCGCCUUUAGUCAUCAACCUCAUGGACAAUAACAAAAACCACUCAGCUAUCAACCCCCAAAACCUAAACCAAUCACAAAUCCCAUCUCAUCUGGGUUACGGGUCACCCCAAAACACUAUACCCCCAGAAAAUAUCCCAUAUAGUGCACCCCAAGUACCGCAUUUUGAUGCUAACGAGAAUUGGAAACAACCUGAUGUUGGGGAUGAUACACAAUCAAAAUAGAAAUUCCAUGUUUUAGAAGAGCGAAUAAAAGCAAUUGAAGGGCAUAAUGUAUAUAGUCUCGAAGCUUUUGAUAUGUGUUUGGUUCCUGAUGUGACUAUCCCUCCAAAAUUCAAGGUUCAUGAGUUUGGAAAAUACAAAGGCACCACAUGUCCUAAAAAUCAUCUGACUAUGUAUUGUAGAAAAAUGGCUUCUCAUGCUCAUAACGACAAACUUCUCAUUCAGUUUUUCCAAGACAGUUUGAGCGGGGAAUCGUUAAGUUGGUAUAUGCAUCUUGAGCGAAAUUGAAUUCGUUCGUGGAAAGACUUGGCUAAUGCCUUCUUGAGGCAAUACAAGUACAACAUUGACAUGACCCUUGAUAGGAUGCAAUUGCAAAAUUCAUUGAAAAAGGACAACGAAACUUUAAAAGAAUAUGCACAAUGAUGGAGAGAAGUGGCAUCACAAGUAAAACCUCCUUUAUCAGAAAUAGAAAUGGUUGGUAUGUUUAUGGAUACUCUCCAGUCGCCUUUUUAUGAUAAAAUGAUUGGGAGAGUGUCAUCAAACUUUUCUGACCUGAUCAUGAUAGGAGAAAUGAUUGAAAGUGGGAUGUGGAGUGGCAAGAUUGUAUGUGCAGCAAUUGGCAUGAAGAGAACCUAAACAACAUUCACAAAAGAGAAAGGAUGGGAUGUUAAUGCUGUAAUGGCAAAUCCAAUGCUCUCUUAUUCUUCAGUUAUGAAUUCUUAUCAACCUCCAAAUUUCCAACCCGAGACACCUCAAGCUCCUUACAUUCCAUAUCCAUAUGUGGCUACAACCUCACAAGCUUCCCCUGAAAAUUACCAAUCAUGACCACCUUUUUAUCAACCAUCCCUGGUCCAACCACCACCUAUCACAUUUUCCCAAAAAAACCAAUGGAACCAAAAUCCAAUACCGAAUCACUACAAACCACCAGUUAACUGAGAAAAGAAGAUAACUCGUUUUGACCCGAUUCUCGUGACAUACAAUCAAUUGUUGCCUCACCUAUUCCAAAAUUCAAUGGUAGUCCUGAGGCCAAUGAAACCUCUGGAACCACAAUUCCCGAAAUGGUAUAACCCCAACGCCAAAUGUGAAUACCAUGCAGGAGCUGUAGGGCAUUCUGUCAAAGAUUGUCAAGCCUUAAAAUCUAAAGUGCAAGAACUGAUUAAUGCAAAAUGGCUUAUCGUAAAGGAAGACGGUCCCAACAUAGGGGGUAAUCCUUUGUCAGGCCACAGAGAUGCUGAUGUCAAUCUCAUUGAAGAAGAGAUAUACCAAUACACAAAAGAUGAUCAUGUAUCGACCAUAGAACCGUGCAUGGAAAAUAAUAUAUAUUUCCCAAGACCAUUGAAAAUCCUCUAUAGAAAAGAGAAUCCUAAGCCAACUCAUAGUGGGAAAAAUUCAAUAAUUGUUCAAGCACCAACCUCUUUUACUUAUGAAAAUAACAAGGCUGUACCAUGGAGUUAUGAAGUCACAUUCCAUUUAGUCAAUCAUCAAUCAUGCGAUAACUUUAAACCUCAAGGUACUGAUGUCACCAAUAUUUCAGGGAUUGAAGGGAUGACCCGGAGUGGUCGAGUAUACACUCCUGAACAACUUAGGAAAAAGGAAGGCCAUGGAGAAAAAAGGAAAGAGGUUGUGUAUCAUGCCAUAAAAAGGAUCAGAAACUUGCAAAAAGACAGUGCCUGAAGAAGAAGCUAAUGAAUUUUUGAAGUUUAUCAAGCUAAGUGAGUAAAAGGUGGUAGAUCAACUAAGUCAAACCCUUUCCAAGAUAUAUGUUCUUUCUUUGUUAUUAAACUCUGAAGCGUAUAGAAGGGCACUGAUGAAACUUUUAAACGAGGCCCAUGUUCAUAUGAUAUCACUGUCGACCAGUUUGAUGGAGUUGUCGAUAAUAUCACCGCCAAUAACGAGUUGAGUUUUAGCGAUGAUGAAUUACCAGCUGAGGGAAUAAAGCAUAAUAAAGCACUACACAUCUCUGUGAGGUGUCAUGAUCAUAUUCUUGCACGAGUGUUAGUUGAUAACGGUUCAUCGUUAAAUGUCAGGCCAAAAUCAACACUAUCAAAAAUAUUUGUUGAUGGUACUUGUUUGAAGUCGAGUGCUAUGGUGGUGAAAGCGUUUGAUGAAUCCAAAAGACAAGUUGUUGGUGAGAUUGACCUAUCAUUUAAAUCGGACCCCAUAACUUUGGAAUAACCUUUCAAGUGAUGGAUAUUAAGUCGGGGUACAGUUGCCUUUUAGGGAGACUGUGGAUUCACGCUGCUGGAGCAAUGACAUCAACCCUCUAUCAAAAGUUAAAGUUUAUAGUGAACCAUAAGCUAGUGAUAAUAUCUGGGGAAGAAGAGUCAUCUAUCUUCUAUGGGUUACAUUGAAGACACGGAGGAAGCCAUAAAGACUUGCUUCCAAGCAUUAGAAAUCGCCAAUGUUAUCUUCAUGGGUGAAGGAUUUCGCUUAAAGGAACCAAAACUAUCUACCACAUCAUUGAAGUCUACAAAAUCCAUGUUGGAAGGAGGAGCUUUAUUUAAAUUUGGGAAAUUGAUAGAAAUACAAAAAAAAAAAAAGGAUAGGUAUGGGUUGAGAUAUGUACCUAUCAAAGCUGAUUAAGAGAAUAUUGUGAAGGAAAAAAGAGAAAGCAGGAUGGCUCGUUGGGAAAAUCGAGUACCAAAUUAAAAAAAGAUUCCUAUUUGUGACAUUUACCAAACCUUUCAGAGCACCAAAAUAAUAUAUGCUGAUGAUGUGGCUGUUGUGGAAGAGGAUCAUGUUGAUGAUGACACCCUUAAAUUUGUGUACCCUUGUCCUCCAAACACCACUCUCAACAAUUGGAAGAUCAUCGAGUUUCUCGUGUUUGUUAAUUCAUGUUCAAAGUAAUUGUGUAUUUUAACUUCUUUUGCUCUGCCUAAGGCUAUAAGGAUAACUAAUAGGACGCAUGUAUUUCAAUUUCGCACUUAUUAUCAAUAAAUGCAUUUUUGAAUUCUCUAGUUGUUUUUGUUUUUCUCUUUUCUUUUUUUAGCAAUCUUUAUUCAUAUUUUCUUUUUUCCUUUUCCUCUUAAUUUAAAUAAUGCAGAGAUGAAAAUGAAUAUGUUGACAAUAACAAUGCUAGAAACCCUUCUUGUAAUUUGGAACGCCCAAUUAAUCACGCUAAUAAGGAUUGUGAAGACAAUUGUGAGCCUCCCCCAUAACUAGAAAGGUUAAUUGAAUAGGAAGCUAAAAUAAUCCAACCCUAUCAAGAACCUGUUGAGGUGAUCAAUUUAGGGACUGAACAUGAUAAGAAAGAAAGUGAACAAGAAAAACUAGUUAAACUUUUAUUUGAUUAUGUAGAUGUCUUUGCAUGGUCAUAUCAGGAUAUAACUGGGUUAGAUACUAACAUUGUUGAACACAAGCUACCACUCAAGCUUGAAUGUGCUCCAACAAAAAAAAAAAUUGAGGAGAAUGAGGUUUGAUAUGUCACUUAAAAGUAUAGAAGAGGUCAAAAAACAAUUUGAUGUUGGUUUCUUAGCAGUAGCAAAAUAUCCUCAAUGGGUUGCUAAUAUUGUCACAGUUCCAAAAAAGGAUGAAAAUGUUCGAAUGUGCAUUGAUUAUCGGGAUUUAAAUAAAGCUAGUCCUAAAGAUGAUUUUCCUUUGCCUCACAUUGAUGUCCUAGUAGAUAACACUGUUCAAUAUUCUAUUUUCUCUUUUAUGGAUGGUUUCUCAAGGUAUAAUCAAAUCAAGAUGGCUCCCGAAGAUAUGGAGAAAACUACAUUCAUCACACAAUGAGGGGUUUUCUGUUAUAAAGUGAUCCAUUUGGAGUAAAGAAUGUCGGGGAAACCUAUCAAAGAGCAAUGGUAACUUUGUUUCAUGACAUGAUGCAUAAGGAAAUAGAGGUUUACGUGGACAAUAUGAUUGCAAAAUCUCGGACCGAAGAAGACCAUGUUAUUAACCUUCAAAAGUUGUUUGUGCGAUUAAGGAAGUUCAAACUCUAUUUAGACCCUGCUAAAUGCACUUUUGGUGUAGGAUCAGGUAAGUUACUUAGGUUUAUCGUUAGUGAAAAAGGGAUAGAAGUGGACCCAGAUAAAGUAAGAGCAAUACAAGAAAUGCCCGCUCCACGCACUAAAAAAGAAGUUUGUGGCUUUUUGGGUAGAUUGAAUUACAUUGUCAGGUUCAUAUCGCAUCUCACUGCUACGUGUGAGGCAAUUUUCAAGUUGUUGCACAAAGACCAAAAGGUUGAGUGAAAUGAGAAUUGUCAAAAAGCUUUCGAAAAGAUUAAGUUGUACUUGUCAAAUCCUCCAAUCUUAGUGCCUCCUAUUCCUGGGAAACCGCUUAUUAUGUACUUGACAAUACUUGAUGAGUCAAUGGGUUAUGUACUAGGGCAACAUGAUGAAUUUGGUAGGAAAGAACAUGUUAUUUAUUAUUUGAGUAAAAUGUUCACCAACUCUGAAACAAGGUAUUCACUGCUUGAACGAACAUGUUGUGCAUUAACAUGGGCUACUCGUCGGUCAAGAACCUGUUGAGGUGAUCAAUUUAGGGACUGAACAUGAUAAGAAAGAAAGUGAACAAGAAAAACUAGUUAAACUUUUAUUUGAUUAUGUAGAUGUCUUUGCAUGGUCAUAUCAGGAUAUAACUGGGUUAGAUACUAACAUUGUUGAACACAAGCUACCACUCAAGCUUGAAUGUGCUCCAACAAAAAAAAAAAUUGAGGAGAAUGAGGUUUGAUAUGUCACUUAAAAGUAUAGAAGAGGUCAAAAAACAAUUUGAUGUUGGUUUCUUAGCAGUAGCAAAAUAUCCUCAAUGGGUUGCUAAUAUUGUCACAGUUCCAAAAAAGGAUGAAAAUGUUCGAAUGUGCAUUGAUUAUCGGGAUUUAAAUAAAGCUAGUCCUAAAGAUGAUUUUCCUUUGCCUCACAUUGAUGUCCUAGUAGAUAACACUGUUCAAUAUUCUAUUUUCUCUUUUAUGGAUGGUUUCUCAAGGUAUAAUCAAAUCAAGAUGGCUCCCGAAGAUAUGGAGAAAACUACAUUCAUCACACAAUGAGGGGUUUUCUGUUAUAAAGUGAUCCAUUUGGAGUAAAGAAUGUCGGGGAAACCUAUCAAAGAGCAAUGGUAACUUUGUUUCAUGACAUGAUGCAUAAGGAAAUAGAGGUUUACGUGGACAAUAUGAUUGCAAAAUCUCGGACCGAAGAAGACCAUGUUAUUAACCUUCAAAAGUUGUUUGUGCGAUUAAGGAAGUUCAAACUCUAUUUAGACCCUGCUAAAUGCACUUUUGGUGUAGGAUCAGGUAAGUUACUUAGGUUUAUCGUUAGUGAAAAAGGGAUAGAAGUGGACCCAGAUAAAGUAAGAGCAAUACAAGAAAUGCCCGCUCCACGCACUAAAAAAGAAGUUUGUGGCUUUUUGGGUAGAUUGAAUUACAUUGUCAGGUUCAUAUCGCAUCUCACUGCUACGUGUGAGGCAAUUUUCAAGUUGUUGCACAAAGACCAAAAGGUUGAGUGAAAUGAGAAUUGUCAAAAAGCUUUCGAAAAGAUUAAGUUGUACUUGUCAAAUCCUCCAAUCUUAGUGCCUCCUAUUCCUGGGAAACCGCUUAUUAUGUACUUGACAAUACUUGAUGAGUCAAUGGGUUAUGUACUAGGGCAACAUGAUGAAUUUGGUAGGAAAGAACAUGUUAUUUAUUAUUUGAGUAAAAUGUUCACCAACUCUGAAACAAGGUAUUCACUGCUUGAACGAACAUGUUGUGCAUUAACAUGGGCUACUCGUCGGUUGAGGCAAUACAUGUUAUGUCAUACAAUUUGGUUGGUGUCUAAAAUGGACCCAAUUAAGUAUAUUUUUAAGAAACCUGCUCUUACUGGAAGGAUUGCUCGUUGGAAGAUGUUGUUAUCAGAAUACGACUUGGUGUAUGUUAUACAAAAGGCUAUCAAAGGAAGCGCAUUAGCAAAGUAUUUGGCCCAACAACCUGUAGAAGAUUAUCAAUCGAUGCAAUGUGAAUUCCCGAAUGUAGGUAUAAUGACUCUAUUUGAAGAUACUGAAUCAUCUGAUAAAGGAAAAUGGACGUUGGUGUUUGAUGGUGCUUCUAAUGCAUUAGGGCAUGGAAUUGGAGCCAUUUUGAUUUCCCUAGAGAACUAGUUCACUCCAUUUACGGCUAGAUUGUGGUUUGAUUGCAUAAAUAAUAUUGCAGAAUAUGAGACAUGUGUCAUGGGCAUUAAAACAUCCAUUGAAUCAAAUAUAAAAGUUCUUGAGGUAUAUGGAGACUCAUCUUUGGUCAUCCAUCAAACAAAAGGAGAGGGCAAAACUCGAGAUUCCAUAUUUAUUCUGUAUCAUACGCAUAUGAAAGAAUUAAUAAAACACUUCGAGCAUAUCACUUUACAUCAUAUUCCUCGAAAAGAAAACCAAUUGGCUGACGCCCUGGCCACAUUGUCAUCAAUGUUCAAAAUAAGCGUCGGUCAGGAUGUGCCGGUCAUUUAAAUUCAGCAAAGGGACAAACCUGCAUAUUGCUUAUCAAUAGAAGAAGAGCUUGAUAGAAAGCCAUGGUUUUAUGAUAUCAAAUCCUAUGUUAAGAAUAGGGAAUAUCCAUAAGGUAUUUCAGAGAACGACAAAAGGGUUUUAAGGAGGUUGUCAAUGAACUUCUUCUUAAAUGGUGAUGUGCUUUAUAAGAGAAAUCAUGAUAUGGUUCUCCUCAGAUGUGUGGAUCUAGCAGAAGUAGAGAAAAUUAUUCAAGAGGUUCACGAAUGUUCUUUUGGAACUCAUGCAAAUAGACACGUAAUGGCAAGAAAAAUCUUAAGGGCUGGCUAUUUUUGGUUGACUAUGGAAUCUGAUUGCUUUAGUUACGUAAAGAAAUGUCAUAAAUGUCAAAUCUAUGCUAAUAAAGUACAUGUACCACCCACCUCUGUGAACACUUUAACAUCACCAUGUUCAUUUUCAAUGUGGGGGAUGAAUGUUAUUGGACUCAUCGAGCCUAAAGCUUCAAAUGGGCAUAGCUAUUGAUUAUUUCAUAAAAUGGGUUGAAGCCGCUUCUUAUGCCAAUGUGACGAGAAGUGUGGUUGUCAAAUUCAUCAAAAGAGAAUUGAUUUUUCGAUAUAGAUUACCAAAUAAGAUAAUCACUGACAAUGCGACCAAUGUGAAUAAUAAAAUGAUGAAGGAGUUGUGUGAUAAUUUCAAAAUUCAACACCAUAAUUCUUUGCCAUAUCGUCAAAAAAUGAAUGGGGCUGUAGAAGCUACAAAUAAGAAUAUCAAGAAGAUCAUACAAAAGAUGGUGGAGACAUAUAAGGAUUGGCAUGCAAUGCUUCCCUUUGCAUUACAUGGCUAUAGAACCGCUAUUCGUACCUCAACAGGGGUAACUCCUUUCUCAUUGGUGUAUGGAAUUGAAGCGGUAAUUCUCAUUGAAGUUGAAAUUCCCUCGAUAAGAGUCUUGAUGGAAACAAAACUGGAAGAGGCUGAGUGGGUUCAAUCACGAUUAGACCAAUUAAAUGUCAUAAAAGAAAAAAAGAAUGAUAGCUCUAUGCCACGACCAGCUAUAUAAAAAAAACUUAAAAAGGCAUACGAUAAAAAAGUCCGUCCUCGAGAGUUUCAAGAAUGGGACUUGGUGUUAAAUAAAAUAUUGCCCAUAAAAAAAGAUGCUCGUGGAAAAUGGACCCCGAAUUACGAAGGACCAUACGUUGUGAAAAAGCUUUCUCUGGGGGAGCUCUAAUACUCGCAGAAAUGGAUGGAGAAGACCUUCCACUUCCAAUAAAGUCAGAUGCAGUAAAAAAAUAUUAUGUUUAAAAAAAAUGAUCAAAAAAUGGGCUCGCUAGGUUGAAAACCUGAAAAGGCGACCUAGGGAAAAAUUAGAGCAUCCCGAUGGAUUGGAAACUUUGAAGAAUGGUCCAUGCAAAAGUUAGGGAUAAAAAAAAAUCAAGCGCUUUAAAUUGGGGCAAUUAUUAUUCUUGCAAGCUGACUAAUAGGAGUCUUAAAUUACAAGAAUGACUAGAGUUUGUAAUGUCUCCACCUAAAGUUAAACAUACUCGUCCCCACAUGUAACCCUUACUUCAAUUGUUUUGCUUUAAAUGUAACGAAUGUACAUUUUCCAAUAUUGUCAUUCGAUGUUGUACGUUACACUCUUUAUAAACCAAUCCAGUUUCAUUAUUGAUUGUUCUAGUGUUUCAAAAUGUUGUUUUAUGAUAAUAGAUGUUGGAAUUUGAAAUAUGUGAAAAUAUAAAAGUAUUUUAAAUAUUUUGGCACUUGAAAAACAAAUAGAAAUCGAUAGAUUCUCAACAUGUAUGGGUGCAUAUAAGAAAAAUGAAGAAUAAUCAUUUUAAACAAUGGACUUGGUUUUACCUCGAAAAAAGGGGGGGCUUCACAUGAGACAUACUAGAGUCCUCACACAAAAAAUGGUUGUUAUCUUCAUUCAUCAAUUAAAUCUUGUAGACGUAGAAGAUAAUAAGGAUCGAGGAAUCAAAGAAAUGAACAAGAAUUGAUCAUUAAUUCAUGACACACAUAAAUCAUGCAUAAUUUACUCAUACUCACAUGAUCCAUGCAUUUUCAUUCACACUUUACCUAUACUCAACAACCUUUCAUAAUGCAUAACACACGCAUGAAUCAUUCAUACCUUAUAUUUAUACUUUAUUUAUAUUCAACAACCAUUAACGUUCACAUUGCAAGUAUCAUAUACUUAUUCGCCCUCUCAUCUAUUUCCAAGAUUGGACCAACUACCUUUGUUCAUUUCUGUCGAUCAACGCAUCAGUAACCAUUCCGAAGACGAUCAUUUUUUAUUUCUAUGGAUCUACGCAUAUGUAAACAAUCCGAAGACGAUCACUUUCAUUUAUGUCGAUCUACGCAUCAGUAACCAAUCUGAAGACGAUCAUUUUUUAUAGAUAUACACAUCGGUAACCAAUCCGAAGAUGAUCAUUUUUUAUUUCUAUGGAUCUAUGCAUCGGUAAACAAUAUGAAGAUGAUCACUUUCAUUUAUGUCGAUCUACGCAUCGGUCACCAAUCUGAAGACGAUCAUUUAUUUUUAUUUUUAUGGAUCUAUGCAUCGGUAAACAAUAUGAAGACAAUUAUUUUCACUCAUGUCGAUCUAUACAUCGGUAAUCAAUCCGAAGACGAUUAUUUUGCACAUUUCAACAAAAUUUGCAUCAUUCCCACUUUAACAUUUCAGGGGCACUUUAAUACACGCGUUUGUUAUUGGACAAAAUUCAGGUCCUUAUAUUUACUUAUCUCUUACUUGAUAAUAUGAAAAUGAAAACCAUUGUUAUUCAUAUUUUCAUAUUUCAAGUAAAAUAUAAUUAAAUAAGGGCAGUUGUAGUACCCUAAUUUUGUCAAAUUUAUUACAAAUAAUUCAAAAACUAAUAAUAUCCAUUUUUAUUAUAAUAUAUCAAAUUUUUUUAUUUGUAUCUUCAUAAUCAUUAAUACAAAAAAGGAAAAUAUAUAUAUAAAAUAGGAAAUAAAAAUAAUAGAGUUAAAAUUAAAAUUACAAUAAAUAAACUCAUUAUGUCUCAUCAAUUUACAAUGCCAAAUCUAAUUAAAGUUUUAAAACCAAAUCAAAUUAAAAAUUAAAUUAAAAAUUAAGCCAAAUUAAUUUACAAUAAAAAUUAAGUCAAACUAAAUCAAAUCAAGGCAAUUGUUCCAGCCUGUUUUGCAUCUAUUUUGUUCUCUGCCCUUGCUCACUGUCAAACCUUACUCUGUUGAUGCCGACUGUUGUUGAUGCACAAGUCAUGCUCAUUGAUACAUUUGUACCUGUUCUAACUAAUUAGAGAAAUAGAAGAAAAAAAAUUAUAAGUCAACCAUUGUACAUAUUAUACAUAUCAAAUAGACAAACUUUUGAGUUUAAAAAGAAAACUAAAAGACAAAUUAAAGCUGCAAAUGAAAAAGCUCAACAAAUGAACAAAUCAAAACAAAUAAGCCAAAACCAUGAAUGCAUCAGAGGUGCAUAAAAAAACUCAGAUGAUGAGCAAACAAAAAGAAGCAUCAAACAAGGAACUGGAAAACUCAAACUCAAAUAGAGACAUAGACAAAGAAAGCAACUAAACAGAUAAAAGAACUAUAUAAAUACAUCUUCUUUAAAUUUCAUAAAGGAUCGGAGAUGAAUAUUAACAUGAAAAAUACCUAAAACGAAGAAGAAGAAAACAUAGUAAUAGCAAAGAAAAACAAACAUAAGAAGAAGAGUUAAGGUAAUUUUUUUUCUCUCUUUACAUUAUAAUUACUUUUUUUAUUUAUAUAUAUAUAUAUAUAAAUGCAAAGUUUCGAUUUAAAAUAGGAAAAACAAGAUAACAUUUUAAAUAAAUAAAAAAUUCAGAAAUCACAAACCUCCGACGAGUGUCAACGAUGCCGCCAAGCUCUACAAAUAGCAUUUGUAUCUAAUUUGGUACGUUACAUUUGAUCCAAUCUCGAUUAGGGAGAGAUGGAGGUCGCAAGAAGAGGAGACGACGACGUCGGCGCAUGCUACGACAUUGGUUAGGGUUCUUGGUUGCGGUCUUCAUCUAGGUCCUCCGUGUUGGUUGUGGUAUUCAUCUACGACCUAUAUGUCUGCUUCUUGCAUGACUUUUAUAUCUUUUCUUCUUUUUUUUUUUUCCAGUUGAUGCUUUAUGCGGCCGCCUCACUAGUUUGUAAUCUAGGGUUUAGUUUAGUUGGUGACCUAGGGUUUUUAUUACAUUUUUUAACCUAUUUUUUUUUAAGUUGG